rnacentral:lncRNA from 1 species
GUUAGGCAAUCUCUGAGGAUGGGCUGUAGUGGGGCGGGGUGGGAGCAGGGAGACCACUUGGGAGGCCAGUGGAAUAGUCCAGAUGAAUCGUGAUGGUGGGCAGCCUGGAGCAGAGGUGGUGAUCAGGGGAGAAGGGAAGGGUGGUGGAUUCAAUGAUUGGAUGGUUGGAUAUGGGGUAUAGUUUGAAAAAGGAAGAUGUUAAGGUUCCACCGAUACCAUUGCUAAGGAAACACAGGAGAGGGCAGAAUCCACUCUGCUUGGAUCUCCAGAAAACAUCAGGGAAGGACGGAUAAGUCAUCAAAAGGGAUUGAGAUUGGAAGUUGGCCUUGAAGAAUGAGUAGGCAUUUUCUAGUUGGCAAGAGGGGAAAGGUAUGAUAAUCAGAGGGCGGGGCAUGUGCAAAGGCACAGGGGCAUAACCAGAAUAGUGCAAGCAACUGCAAGCGUUCAUAGGUAUGAAAGGGAAAUUAAUAUGUGACCCGUAAAUAACUAUGUUGGUUUCUUGAUACGCUCAUCUCUAUUUUGUGCAUAGUCAUUAUAAGACCUACAGUAGGUAGAAUUUGUAAAUAGGUUAAAAUGAUAAAAUGUUUUAUUUUUAUUCUAUAGGCAUAAUGUAUAGAAAUUCCUGUCUUUACUUCCAUAUUUUAAAUGAGGAAUUCACAUAUGGCUCUUGAUUUUAUUAUCUGCCUUCUUUCUAAUAAAAUUUAGUCAUUUAGUCAUUUGGGUAGAACUUAGAUUUUAGGUUUUUCCUUAGUGUUUUGGCAUCUGGAUUUGGGAUUGAUUGACAUUUUAAAUUUAUUGAAAUAACUAUGAAUUUACUCCUGAUGGAAAUAGGGACAUGUUGAUUUCGAUUUUGCUUGGAAACUAAGAUCAAAGGACAAUCCAAUCCAAAAAGAGUUUGUAAUGCUAAAACUUAGGUGACAUGUCAACUCUGGGGAAAAAUAAGGUGAUGUUGAAUUAAUACUUGAUGUGUUUAUAGUAAGUACAAGAGUGUUGAUAGUUAGAUCAGUUUGGGAAAAAUCUAUAGCACUGAAAUUAUGAGCAUGGCUUUAUGUGAAAGAUAGUGGCUUAAAAUACUGCCUUUAACAUCUGUUAGCCAUACAAAUGCCCAGUUUU